UAAUAGUGUAUAUUAAAGUUGUUGCAGUUAAAAAGCUCGUAGUUGAAUGUUGGUGUCGAACGAGCGGUCAGCUUCGGCUGUACUGCUCUCUCGACUCCUUCCUUCUGUGGACUACGUCGCACUUUACUGUGUGGCGCUAGGACGCAGAUCGUUUACUGUGAAAAAAUUAGAGUGUUCAAAGCAGGCCGUACGCUUGAAUACAUUAGCAUGGAAUAAUGGAAUAGGACGUCGGGCCUAUUUUGUUGGUUCUAGGACCGUCGUAAUGAUUAAUAGGGACAGUUGGGGCCGUUUAUAUUCCGUAGUCAGAGGUGAAAUUCUUGGAUUUACGGAAGACGAACAUCUGCGAAAGCAUUUGCCAAGGAUGUUUUCAUUGA
rnacentral:rRNA from 1 species